rnacentral:tRNA from 1 species
AGCAAAGUCAGCUAAUCAAGCUAUCGGGCCCAUACCUCGAAAAUGUCGACUAAUAUUCCACCUUUGCUA